rnacentral:pre_miRNA from 1 species
UACAUACUCCCUCCAUCCCAGAUUAAGUGCCGAAAUAUUACAUGUAUCUAGACGUAUUUUAGUACAUAGAUAUAUUCAUUUUUAGACAAAUUUGAGUCACUUAAUAUGGGACGGAGGGAGCAUAAA